UCAGGACGAACGCUGGCGGCGUGCCUAAUACAUGCAAGUCGAGCNNNCAGAAGGGAGCUUGCUCCCGGAUGUUAGCGGCGGACGGGUGAGUAACACGUGGGUAACCUGCCUGUAAGACUGGGAUAACUCCGGGAAACCGGAGCUAAUACCGGAUAGUUCCUUGAACCGCAUGGUUCAAGGAUGAAAGACGGUUUCGGCUGUCACUUACAGAUGGACCCGCGGCGCAUUAGCUAGUUGGUGGGGUAAUGGCUCACCAAGGCGACGAUGCGUAGCCGACCUGAGAGGGUGAUCGGCCACACUGGGACUGAGACACGGCCCAGACUCCUACGGGAGGCAGCAGUAGGGAAUCUUCCGCAAUGGACGAAAGUCUGACGGAGCAACGCCGCGUGAGUGAUGAAGGUUUUCGGAUCGUAAAGCUCUGUUGUUAGGGAAGAACAAGUGCGAGA
rnacentral:rRNA from 1 species